rnacentral:rRNA from 1 species
AACCAGCACCUCAAGUGGUCAGGAUGAUUAUUGGGCCUAAAGCAUCCGUAGCCGGCGCUAUAAGUUUUCGGUUAAAUCUGUACGCUCAACGUACAGGCUGCCGGGAAUACUGUAGCGCUAGGGAGUGGGAGAGGUAGACGGUACUCGGUAGGAAGGGGUAAAAUCCUUUGAUCUAUUGAUGACCACCUGUGGCGAAGGCGGUCUACCAGAACACGUCCGACGGUGAGGGAUGAAAGCUGGGGGAGCAAACCGGAUUAGAUACCCGGGUAGUCCCAGCUGUAAACUAUGCAAACUCAGUGAUGCAUUGGCUUGUGGCCAAUGCAGUGCUGCAGGGAAGCCGUUAAGUUUGCCGCCUGGGAAGUACGUACGCAAGUAUGAAACUUAAAGGAAUUGGCGGGGGAGCACCACAAGGGGUGAAGCCUGCGGUUC